rnacentral:rRNA from 1 species
UACGUAGGUGGCAAGCGUUGUCCGGAAUUACUGGGCGUAAAGCGCACGUAGGCGGAUUGUUAAGUCGGGGGUGAAAUCCUGGAGCUCAACUCCAGAACUGCCUUCGAUACUGGCGAUCUCGAGUUCGGGAGAGGUGAGUGGAACUGCGAGUGUAGAGGUGAAAUUCGUAGAUAUUCGCAAGAACACCAGUGGCGAAGGCGGCUCACUGGCCCGAUACUGACGCUGAGGUGCGAAAGCGUGGGGAGCAAACAGG